GAGGCUUUUAUUUACAUCAUAGGACAAGAAAAGGAUACAAAAGAAGUCUCUUGGUCAAGCACAUCAAGCGAAAGCUCUAAAACUCAAUACUCAGUAAGCUGUGGGCACCGAUACUUAAAAAAAAAGAGAGAGACAGAAAAGGUAAAAAGGGAAUCUGUGACAUGAUCCAAAUGCUUACACUCCAGGAACUGAGCAAGAGAAACCCAGGGCAGUGCUGUCACAGAGAAUGACGGCUCAGGCUGAGCGAUGUCUGAGAUUCAUCUUCUGUACCCAUGAACCGGACUCCCAGGACAACCCCUAGGAGGUUUUGACUUUUGACAUUACUGAGUUAAUUCUUAACCAGAUUCUUAAGAAUUUCAGGGCCAAACAGGCUUGACGAUACGGUUUUUCCAAUUUGGGGGAUGGGAGUGGGGAAGCUCUUCCUGGGACAGACUCCCAGGCAAGGAAAGGCCCCAGCAGCUGUCCCCUGCCCUGGGCUCUGCCUCCAUCUCCCCACGAGGAACUUGUGGGCUGCCUGGGGCUCGUCAGCAGCCCUCACAGGCUCUCACUCUUUUUCCCACUCACUAUGCUUGGCUUUUUGUUCCACUUAUGUCUCUCUCUCCCUUUCUCCGAUACCCGGUGUUGUGGGGCAAGCUAUAAUGAUCUCACGUGUGUGAAAAUGUGCCGUAUCCACUUUCAUCAUCUGGGCUAAAACCAGAUCACUUGUUUCGCUUUUCCUCACAAAUAUUAACAAGGCAGGAAUUGGCUCCCAGUGAAUCUUCAACAUGAAGUUGAAGCUUCAGGAAGUGAAGUGCAGUCUAGCUUCACAGCUUCAACCUUCUCUACCCCUUCCUUUUUUCUGUCUGUCUUUCUGUCUGGGCUUGGCCAUGCUUGAUCAGAGAAGCAUCAGUGUUGAGGCCUCCCUUUUAUGCCUUGGGACAACACGUAGGUGCUGUCACUGAUCCUGCAGACUGUUCAGCAACAGCCCCUUUGGAUUUCUGGAUAUUCUGGAAACAAAGUCAGAACAGUGGCCUAUGGGGGGUUGGCAGAGGGGUAUGGUAAGAGGACCUCCUUUCUUUCAUCUCCCUGUUCAGCGUCCCAUGGCAGUCCACAGGUCAUCCUUGGUGGGUGUCAGGCCCAAGACCCAUGCCCACCCUACCCUUUGAAUCCAGGUGAGAUGAGGUCAAACUGGGCAGCACAGAAGAAGAAAAGAUGCUACAAAGGCAGCUAAUGAGUUCAUGGCCUCAGGGGUUU
rnacentral:lncRNA from 1 species